CAAGGAUCAAUAAAGAUGGGUUCGACUAAAGAAGUUGGAAGCGAAGGGAAAUCGGUGGGAGAUGAACAGUUUGAACAAAUUUUGUGAAAUGGCGCGGAACAAUUCAGCCAAAACAAAGUCAUGGAAAGUGACAGCAGCUGUGCAAAGGCAGGACAGAUGCGUCCCACGUCUUCUCCUGGUGAGCAGUCGGGAUCCCACCACGUCGGUUAUAAUCCACCACAGCGGUUGUCUGAGUGUGAUUCAUUAUCGUAAGAAGACGCAGCUCCUCAGCCCUCAACUGCUUCCAGAUGUGGAAUGCCAGAGAUAAUCUGUCUUUUUGGAUCUCAAUGAGAGCAGGGUGUCUCUCAGAAGCUUGAAUGUCAGGAUCCGGCUCCCAAAUUGUAGACCUACACGUGUGCAUCUUAAGUGGUAUGCAAGGAGGAGACGGGAUCGGGUUACGGUGUACUACUCAUUCAUCAAGGCGAUGAAGAGAGAGAGACAGAGAGACAGAGAGAGAGACCACAAGUGAUAAAUAUCAGCAGGAGCCGAACAUGGACCACAAUAAUAGCAGAGAGCCAAGAGCUACAAUAUUAAAUGGAAUAUGACAAAAAGUACAAGGAAAUGAGAGAGCGACGUGGUGAAAAAAACGACAUGAGGACCGGCAGAGACCCUGUCAGACCUGAGACUUACGGGCACACAUCAAUGCCGUCAGCCCCCCGACUCAGCCGACCACAGGACCUGCAAGCUAAUUUAUAGAUCGGUUUAGGUUUUCCGUGGCUGCCUGAAACCCUCUCGCUGUAUUAUAAAGUCCUCUGGGAAAGGCACAGUUGUGACUGGAAAGUUAUUAGCCCUUUCUAUUUUGCCGUCUGGGUUGUAACCCUACGCUUAUUCAUAUUGGAAAGGUUUCUCUUUAGUCCCAGUAUGUUUUAAGUAAAAAUAGCUGUUAAUGCAUCCUUAACUAAGUGGUGGUUUAUCUGUAAUGCUUGCAUGAGAAUGCAGUAAUGCUUUGUGUAUUCCAGGGCAUCUCUAGUGCUUCAUCUCCUACGUAGGUUCAGUGCCUGUUAAAAGCCCCCCCCCCAGCAGCACAUUUAGCUGCAGGUAUAUGAAUAUUCAAGAUCUAAACAAUAUACAAGUACUUUAUGAAUAAUACUGGCUGUAUUCAAAUCCAUUUCCUGACUCACUGUCAUUUAUCAUUCCCCCGCACACCCCCUCUGCACUGUUUAUUGCUCUUCCUCUGUCUCUUUCCAUCAGCCUACAGGGCAGAUCCAGUAGACGGCUUCUUCAGGAAGAGAAUAGACAGAUUUAAACACUGCUCACUCUCCUGGCUGACUGCCCGAGCCCCCCAGAUGAUUUCAGGGGCUGAAAAUUAAAAUCCCAGAUUAAAGACGGUGAGAGAGUGAAGGGAGGGGAGGAGGGACAGAUGUGAGGUGAGUUACGGGGUAACGAUGUAGAGACAACAUAGAGACAGACACAGCAAGAGGGAUGAUGGACGAAGAGCAGAAAAGGCUGGAAAAUGUUUAAAAGUACACUGGAUGAUACUGUGACAGUAACAGUGGUUUAGAGCUGGGCAGGGAUACUGUAGCUGUCACAGCAGCAGUGGUUUCAGGCUCGACAGGUACAGGAAGUAAGAGACUCAUUAAUUUUCUCCACAGACAAAGAUACAUUUUUCCGUGGUGUGAAUUUCUCCUGGUUGACUUGGCGAUGCAAGAGAUUAACAAGUAUGUUAGAAAAGCUCUGGUUCUCUGAAAGAAAGCGGUAGGUAAAGGGGAU